GGCCAGUGUGCUCAAGGUUAGAGUACUGGCCCACAAACCAAGGGGUUAUAGGUUCGAUUCCAGGUACCUGGAUUGCAGGUUCGAAUCCUGCCCUGGUCG
rnacentral:tRNA from 1 species